rnacentral:rRNA from 1 species
UGGGGAAUUGUUCGCAAUGGGCGCAAGCCUGACGACGCAACGCCGCGUGGGGGAUGAAGAUCUUCGGGUCGUAAACUCCUUUCGAUCGAGACGAAUGGCCUUUGGGUUAAUAGCCUGAAGGAAUGACGGUACCGAGAGAAGAAGCCCCGGCUAACUCCGUGCCAGCAGCCGCGGUAAUACGGAGGGAGCUAGCGUUGUUCGGAAUUACUGGGCGUAAAGCGCACGUAGGCGGCUAUUCAAGUCGGGGGUGAAAGCCCGGGGCUCAACCCCGGAACUGCCCUCGAAACUAGGUAGCUAGAAUCUUGGAGAGGUCAGUGGAAUUCCGAGUGUAGAGGUGAAAUUCGUAGAUAUUCGGAAGAACACCAGUGGCGAAGGCGACUGACUGGACAAGUAUUGACGCCGAGGUGCGAAAGCGUGGGGAGCAAA